rnacentral:rRNA from 1 species
GACGUAGGGUCCAAGCGUUGUCCGGAUUUACUGGGCGUAAAGAGCGCGUAGGCGGCUCGUUAAGUGUGAAGUGAAAUCUCCAGGGCUCAACCCGGAAACUGCUCCGCAUACUGGCGAGCUGGAGUGACGAAGAGGUUUGUGGAAUUCCUGGUGUAGCGGUGAAAUGCGUUGAUAUCAGGAGGAACACCGAUGGCGAAGGCAGCAAACUGGUCGUCAACUGACGCUGAGGCGCGAAAGCGUGGGUAGCAAACAGG